GAAGUUACACCCGAUAAACCGAGGAGUCGAAAACCAUCACAAUAUUUGUGCCCUCCUUACACCGAGUUGCACACGACACCGAAGCAAAAAAGAAGAACAAAAAAGAAGGUUGAUAUCAAAUCAACAAGCCCCGUUCCUCCUCCAGUUUUUGGUGUUGCUCAUGACUUCUCCAUGUUGCGCCUGCAACCUUACGUAGCAGGCGGUGAGGAUGUCAUCCAAAAUUAUGUAUUGCAUUCAUAUGAUGUCCAGCAUCGUUUGUUUAAUUUCGUGUUAGAUAGAGAUUUUUGGAGCUCAUUGUUUGGGCAUACACACGACGGAUGGUUGGAGUCAGCGCAUAUAACCAUUUGGUACCGAC